rnacentral:rRNA from 1 species
CAUUAACAUAUAUUCAUAAUAGUAUCUUAGUUUUAUAACUAAAAUGGUUUGGCAGUGAGUGAUUCUUUUUAGGGGAAGGUGUGAUUUAAAGGAUGUUCCGCCUAUUAAUUUACUUUUAUUAUGUUGGUGUAUAUCUGGUUUAAUAUUAUUGUUUAAUAAUAUAAUUUGUGAAGGUGAUUAGUUAAGCCAAGUCUAUGUGCUGCUUAUAAAAGUAAUCAUGCGUUACAUUUAUAAAUAUAUAAUUGUAAGAUUAUGUAAUUUAGGACUUAAUAGUAAUGUUUAAUAAAUUUGUAGAUGUGAAAAAAGUUUAGCUCAGGUACACACCGCCCGUCACCCUCGAUUUAUAUUGAG